rnacentral:rRNA from 1 species
UGGCGAACGGGUGAGUAAUACGUGAGUAACCUGCCCUUGACUCUGGGAUAAGCCUGGGAAACUGGGUCUAAUACUGGAUACUACCUCUUACCGCAUGGUGGGUGGUGGAAAGGGUUUUACUGGUUUUGGAUGGGCUCACGGCCUAUCAGCUUGUUGGUGGGGUAAUGGCUCACCAAGGCGACGACGGGUAGCCGGCCUGAGAGGGUGACCGGCCACACUGGGACUGAGACACGGCCCAGACUCCUACGGGAGGCAGCAGUGGGGAAUAUUGCACAAUGGGCGGAAGCCUGAUGCAGCGACGCCGCGUGAGGGAUGACGGCCUUCGGGUUGUAAACCUCUUUCAGUAGGGAAGAAGCGAGAGUGACGGUACCUGCAGAAGAAGCGCCGGCUAACUACGUGCCAGCCGCC